rnacentral:tRNA from 1 species
AGAAACUUAGGAUAACUAAACCCUGAGCCUUCAAAGCUCAAUAUAGAAGUUAAACUCUUCUAGUUUCUG